rnacentral:ncRNA from 2 species
UUUUAUAAAUGGCAAACCUGUCGAAAGGCAGGGACGCAAAGCCAAGGGCCUAAGGUGUUUUGCUAUGGCAGCCGGUCGCUGAG